GAGUUUCUGGUGCCGAAAACAAACGUAGAGCAUCCUCGAUAGUGCGCACAGCUUCAGGGUAAAUAUCAAGGUGCAGUGAAAGAAAUGGCUGGACAGUACCAGAGUCUUUAUUUCCUUUUGCUUUCACCAUGCUUGUCAGUUGCCCUCCAAAGAUUUCACUCAACUCUGAAGGAACAAAACUCUGUGUUCUCAUCACUGCAGUUUUGUUCUUCCGCCCAACUGUCU
rnacentral:misc_RNA from 1 species